rnacentral:rRNA from 1 species
UGCAGAAUCUCGUGAACCAUCGAGUCUUUGAACGCAAGUUACGCCCUAAGCCACUAGGCCGAGGGCACGCCUGCCUGGGUGUCA